AACGAACGCUGGCGGCAUGCCUAACACAUGCCAGUCGAACGAGACCUUCGGGUCUAGUGGCGCACGGGUGCGUAACGCGUGGGAACCUGCCCUUAGGUUCGGAAUAACUCCCCGAAAGGGGUGCUAAUACCGGAUAAUGUCUUCGGACCAAAGAUUUAUCGCCUUUGGAUGGGCCCGCGUUGGAUUAGCUAGUUGGUAGGGUAAAAGCCUACCAAGGCGACGAUCCAUAGCUGGUCUGAGAGGAUGAUCAGCCACACUGGGACUGAGACACGGCCCAGACUCCUACGGGAGGCAGCAGUGGGGAAUAUUGGACAAUGGGCGAAAGCCUGAUCCAGCAAUGCCGCGUGAGUGAUGAAGGCCUUAGGGUUGUAAAGCUCUUUUACCCGGGAUGAUAAUGACAGUACCGGGAGAAUAAGCCCCGGCUAACUCCGUG
rnacentral:rRNA from 1 species